rnacentral:rRNA from 1 species
UACAGAGGUGGCAAGCGUUGUUCGGAAUCACUGGGCGUAAAGGGCGCGUAGGCGGCUCGGUAAGCGUGUGGUGAAAGCCUGGGGCUCAACCCCGGGUCGGCCAUGCGAACUGUCGAGCUGGAGCACUGUAGAGGCAGGCGGAAUUCCGGGUGUAGCGGUGGAAUGCGUAGAGAUCCGGAAGAACACCGGUGGCGAAGGCGGCCUGCUGGGCAGUAGCUGACGCUGAGGCGCGACAGCGUGGGGAGCAAACAGG